rnacentral:rRNA from 1 species
AAACGACUCUCGGCAACGGAUAUCUCGGCUCAUGCAUCGAUGAAGAACGUAGCAAAAUGCGAUACUUGGUGUGAAUUGCAGAAUCCCGUGAACCAUCGAGUUUUUGAACGCAAGUUGCGCCCGAAGCCAUUCGGUCGAGGGCACGUCUGCCUGGGCGUCACGCA